GAUUGAUUUUGUUUUUAUAUAUUUGCAAUGGAAUUAAAAAAAUAAAUCCUUACUUUGUAUUUUGAUUGGAUCCGAUUUUGAUUUUAUUGGAAUCCCGAAACGGAUUUCUAAUUGUGGGAAAAAAGAAUAACGAACCGUGUCCUGCGCACAACCUGUUCGAUGGAAUGCUCAUGAGUAGAUCUUCACAUCAAGCUUCAAAGAGGAGGGAUAUAUGCAGAGAUGUUGAAGAGUGGUUGUUCGCAGUCUCGAUUCACCCCUUCAAUCCCACCUCAAACAAAUCAUCACAGCAUUGCUCAAUAGGACUUACAGGAUCCGUGAGCUGAGGCUUUCAACAGUGGACCAGCUUUGCAUCCUUGAUUUCAUGAUCUUGUUGGUCGAUUAAGAACAAAAUGCCUCACCGAACAAGGCCUAUGACUGCACUCUUGGUUUUCAUGGGAGUUAAUGUUGUCUUGGUGUCGACAAUCACUCUGGUUUAUGAUUUUGUGUGCUUCCAUCCUUACUGGGAAAGAAGGAGACAACGUCGUCGCCAGGAACGUGAAGCUGCCAUGGCAAAGGGUCCCCAGUCAAGUUAAAGGGGUGGUGUUCAGACAGAUAUUCUUUCAUACAGCUCGAGGAGGAAGAAAAGAAAAGGCUUUUUAUUGUUGUUAUGGUGUUUGUUUUCACUCCAUGUGGGUGUGAUUGUUUGUUGAAGAAGAAUGAUAUGAUGAUAUGAUCUUCAACCUGAGAAAUGCACCUCCUACUUUGGUUUUCAGUUUCUACAGGUGAGGCUAUGGUUCCAUGAUCCAAACCAUUCUUUCGUUGGCCCCAUUUGUUGAUGGACCAUGGCCCUCAUCAGGAUGAUCGUCGUUACCUUUCAAUUAUUUGGCCAACAAAUAGAUUUUUUUUUUUUUGUUUUGUUUGCUUUUGAAGGAUGAUCAGCAACUAGAUAGUCAAGGUGACAAAUACUACAGUGAUCUGCGUUCAAGUGGAAGAGGACCAAGAUUGGCAUCUAGCAUCUUUCAAUCCAAGAGUUCAUCUUCAUGAUCAAUCCAAUGUGGGGUCCAGCCGAUCAAUGAUCCGGAUCAUUGAACCAUGCAGUGUAAAUAUAGACAUUUUUUCCCCUUUUAAUGGAUUAUAUAUUGGAUGGAAAUCAUAUCA